ensembl:snRNA U6 U6 spliceosomal RNA
GGGCUCACUUUGGCAGCACGUAUACUGAAACGGGAACGACACAGACGAGAUUAGCAUGGCCCCUGCACAAGGAUGACAUGCAAAUUCAUCCGUAUUUCU